rnacentral:rRNA from 1 species
UACGUAGGCAGCAAGCGUUGUUCGGAAUUAUUGGGCGUAAAGAGUAUGUAGGUGGUGUCGUAAGUUUGGUGUGAAAUCUCCCGGCUUAACUGGGAGGGUGCGCCGAAGACUGCGAUGCUGGAGUAUGGGAGAGGGAAUCGGAAUUCCUGGUGUAGCGGUGAAAUGCGUAGAUAUCAGGAGGAACACCUGUGGUGUAGACGGGUUCCUGGACCAUUACUGACACUGAGAUACGAAAGCGUGGGUAGCAAAC